ensembl:lncRNA
CAGCUGGGAAGUGCCACGGAUCAUGAUGGCUUGUGGUGGGCAGCUCACGUCUUAUUACGCUAUAUAAACACAAACAACACACCAGACGGAACUAGAUCAAAUAACAGGAGUCAGGGAACCAGGAGCUCAGAUGAAGGCUCUUGCAAAUUUCUCUGCUCCAGUUUUACAGAACACAGUCUGGUCUAGAUUGUCAAUUUGUGUGUUGAGUAGUAGGAGGAAGGUAGGAUGCACGGGAAGUCCUCGUUUCAAAGAUGAAAAAUGUAGCUCAGAGAUGCCAACCCUGUGGUCAUCAUUAAGCAUGUGUGUGUUAGGUACAUGUUUUCCAACAGACACCGAAUUAAACAGUGAUAUUUCAGAAAGUGUUAUAAUCACUGGCUCCAACUGGACAGGACAGAUGAUACCUAUAGUGCUGUACAUGUUCCUGGAGGAAGUUUCAAAGGAGUCACAUAUUGAUGUAUGGAUGUGAGAGUUGGACUAUAAAGAAAGAUGAGUGCUGAAGAAUUGAUGCUUUUGAAGUGUGGUGUUGGAGAAAACUCUUUAGAGUCCCUUGGAGUACAAGCAGAUCCAUCCAGUCCAUCCUAAAGGAAAUCAGUCCUGAAUAUUCAUUGGAAGGACUGAUGCUGAAGCUGAAACUCUAAUACUUUGGCCACCUAAUGCAAAGAACUGACUCAUUUGAAAAUACCCUGAUGCUGGGAAAGAUUGAAGGUGGGAGGAAAAGGGGACAACAGAGGAUGAGAUGGUUGGAUGGCAUCACCGACUCAAUGGACAUGAGUUUGAGUAGGCUCUGGGAGUUAGUGAUGGACAGGGAAGCCUGGUGUGCUGGGAAGCCUGGACUGGGAAGCCAUGGGGUCGCAAAGAGUCAGACAUGACUGAGUGACUGAACUGAACUGAACUGAAUCAAGCUUUACCUUCCUAGGGCUGGAAAGGUGCUUUCUUUCCAGAGCACAAGACCCACAAGACCAGUCAGGUCUCUGCCCUCAGGAAGAAGCCUGAGAUUGGUCAUGGGCAGACAACCCACAGCACGUGCUACCCAGGCUUCUGUUUCAAUGGUUUGGGAUAUGCCGGGUCAGAAAAACGGCAGAAACCUACAGUCUAUUUUCUCCUAAAAAAAAAUGUUUUUAAGUCUAUGAAACUUUAGCAAGAGGAUUGGAAAGCAGAUGAUACCAGAGAGCAGAAUCUUACAAUAUUUAAGUAGCUGAGUUAGAAGAUUCUGUGUGUUUUUCAUGAUGUGAAAAUUAUCAUUGGGCUGCUGUCUAUGGGGUUGCACAGAGUAGGACACAACUGAAGCAACUUAGCAGCAGCAGCAGCAGAAACUAAAAGCUUGUUAUAAGAAGGGAAAAUGUUAAUUUUGCUUGCUAUGAAAAGAGAAUGGGAGAAAACUUCAAGUAUCCAUCAAAAAGUCUGUAAUCCUCACUUAGAGAAGUCUCCAGAAACUAUUUCACCAUCGAACCCCUGUCAUCCUAGCCCCCUGAUAGAACCUGGCUUUUCCUUUUAUUACUUGCUGAUGUCUCUGCUCUUUUGCACACUCAUCUGAAUGAUCUCAUCUUCCUUGCCCUGCUUUCUCCAUAUGAUAAAUCUGAAUUCACAUUUACCACCAUACACUUUAUUAGCCACACCUUCUGUCUCCAUUCAAAGGGAGUUGUACCAAAGGUGUGCUUGAUGGUGGAGGUGUUGUUGGCCAGUUCAGUUCAGUUGCUCAGUCAUGUCCGACUCUUUGCGACCCCAUGGACUGCAGCACACCAGGCUUCUCUGUCCAUCACCAACUCCCAGAGCUUACUCAAACUCAUGUCCAUACAGUUGGUGAUGCCAUCCAACAAUCUCAUCCUUUGUCAUCCCCUUCUCCUCCUGCCUUCAGUCUUUCCCAGCAUCAAGGUCUUGGUCACAAUGUUGGUUACAGUGUUACUAAUUUAGAAAUUACAUCUGCUCAGUCUGAAAUAUUAUAUAGUGAAUAGUUUUUCUUAUCUGCAAAAUAUAAAUAUAUGGAGGACAGACAUUGUAGUCCAUACACAAUUUCAUUUUUUAAAAGAUAUUUUAACUUAAUAUACCAUCACUUUUAAUGGGAUAAAGUCAACCUUAACAUUAAAAAAAAAAAAAUUCAAGUUUUCCCCCUAAGGAAUUAUCUCCUGCCAGCUCAAUCAGUAGUCACCUCUAAAACAUGAUAGGAAUCAUACAUUUUAGGGAACAUUAUAAGAAUUUACCACUGGGAGUCAUAUUUUUGGGUGACAUGUAACAAAGCUUUGGUAGCAAGCUAGUAUGUCAUUUACUUGCUGAUGUGGGAUGUUGCCACUGAGAAAUAUUUGAAAGCUGCCAAGACCUUCCUAAAGAAUAGAAUGGCCUCUUUAUUUUGGUGAUUAUGCCUUCUUUGGGAGAAAAGGAAUUGUAUUUAUUCACGAAUUUUGAAUAUUGAGUAUAUUUAAGACUUCAGAGCUUAACAAUGAAGUUCUAUUUGGAUGUGUGACUUAAUAAUCGAACCUCAUUUAACACAUAGCUAAAAUGUAUAGUCAACUCUAAGUAAAAUUGGGCUUAGAUAUUUUAUAUUGGAACAGAUGCAAAGUCUUAAACUCAUCCUAUAACUAAUUCAGGUUCAGCACCUCGAUCUCCCAGGUGUAGGAAGUGGUGAAGGUCAGAUCUAGGCUGAGAUAUGCAAGGGGAAGCUUCCUUGGUGCAUCCCUCUGAGCAACCACCUUCUUCUCUAUAGUCUCUCACUGUUACACCUGGAAAGCGCCCUCAGCUCUUUUCCUUCACUUUCCUCCCAUCUUGAUAGUCAAGCACUCCAGUUACCACAUCCUCAUUCAACCAGGUGGAGAAGGCAAUGGCACCCCACUCCAGUACUCUUGCCUGGAAAAUCUCAUGGAUGGAGGAGCCUGGUAGGCUGCAGACCAUGGGGUCGCUAAGAGUUGGACACGACUGAGCGACUUCACUUUCACUUUUCACUUUCAUGCAUUGGAGAAGGAAAUGGCAACCCACUCCAGUGUUCUUGCCUGGAGAAUCCCAGGGACGGGGGAGCCUGGUGGGCUGCUGUCUAUGGGGUUGCACAGAGUCGGACAUGACUGAAGCAACUUAGCAGCAGCAGCAGCAGCAUUCAACCAGGAGUUAAGAAGAAAGGACUGAAACAUUAUUGGGGGUGGGGGUUGAAGGCAGGAGGAAGGACUGGCCCUGUUUUAAGGUAAUCAGGCAGUUUUUGUCUUAUAGCUGAGUAGAUUCAAAUUCAUGUGGUUGCCUAGAUUCAAAUUUCAUGUUUGAUCCAGUAUUAUCUGUACAACCUUGUUGAUAUUAUUUAAUUUCUUUGUGUUUCAGAUUGCUCUUCUGCAAAAUGCAGAGAAAAAUCAUACUUACCUGACAUGGCUGUUCUUAGAUUAAAUGAUUUGAUACAAAUAUAGUUCCUAAAAUAAUGCCUGAGACAAAGUAAAUAUAUCAAGUCAAUGCAAAGCAUUUUUCAAAAUAGAGAAUAAAAAUGUUACUUGAUAUACACAUGAAGUUUAAAUAAUUUGAGUGUCAAUAAUUUAUGAAUAUAAAAGUCAAUAAUUUUGACUAGAAGGCAAAUGAGCAAUUAAUUGAUUGAAAUGCUGAAUUAUAUAUUUAUUAUAUUAAGAAAUUUUUAACAAGUGUAAUUGUGGCCAGUUUUUGACAUGUGCUUCUGUUAAAUUUUAAAUACACUGCUUUUGCAAAUUGUGCUAUUCAAUUAAAUGAGUAUUUA